UCCCCCCUGCCACCGAGCCCCGCUACAAAGGUUCCGCUUGAGAGGGAGAGCUGCGGUAAUAGAGGCCUUGGCUCUUUGUUUCUUGGCACUUCUUUUCUGUGACUUGGGGGAGUCUGAGAAUAAGGCACUAACCCACACAAGUAUUAUACACUGACUGACACAACCCAGUCCCAAAAGUGCUUACAGAGAUGUAAACCUAAUAGGACUUGACUCCCUCGUAGUGAACAUAGAGGAUUGCAGCUGCUGCUGCUGCACACAAUAGGUUCUCGUGCUUUUAAAAGCUGUGUAAAAAGCAAAAAUUCAGCAGGUGAAGCUUCCUCCUUCACUGAACCAACAUGCUUCUACAAAGAGGGCUUGAAACAGGUGAAUACAUAAAUGACUUCUACAAAAAGGGCUUGAAACAGGUGAAGAAACGCUGGCAAAAAUGUGUGACUCUGCAGGGAGACUACGUGGAGAAGAACUAACUUUGACCACUGCAAGUGACUAUUGUAUGUUUUUUAUUUCAUGGUGAUAAUUAAAACUUUUGGAUACCCCCUCGUAUCUUUCAGAAUAAAAUAUUAUAGAGAUUAUUAUUGUACUCGCAUAACGAUUGCAUAAUGAGAUAUUGAUUCUCAAGAUAUUACACUAUUGUAUAUUCUGUGCAGGUCAAAUAGUAUGAUUUCUCUGUCAAUACGAUAGUGUGACUUUGAGUGUCAUGAACAAGUUGGAUGAAGUGGGAUAUACACAUUUAUAAAUCAAUGCAGUAAUGGUAGAGUUGCUACUAUUGGAAAGAUUUUGCUGCCCAUAUAUGAUAUGACAUGGGUUUUUCUGCCCAUACAUGAUACAGUAAAAAGAAAAUAAAAAUACUUAUUUAAAUAUU